rnacentral:rRNA from 1 species
GUAUAAGAGACAGCAGUAGCCACGGUAAUACGGAGGGUGCAAGCGUUAUCCGGAUUUAUUGGGUUUAAAGGGUCCGUAGGCGGAUCUGUAAGUCAGUGGUGAAAUCUCACAGCUUAACUGUGAAACUGCCAUUGAUACUGCAGGUCUUGAGUAAAUUUGAAGUGGCUGGAAUAAGUAGUGUAGCGGUGAAAUGCAUAGAUAUUACUUAGAACACCAAUUGCGAAGGCAGGUCACUAAGAUUUAACUGACGCUGAUGGACGAAAGCGUGGGGAGCGAACAGGAUUAGAUACCCCAGUAGUCCCUGUCUCUUAUAC